UUUUCCUCAAGUAUUCGUAAAUGAAUCAUGAAUAUAAUAGCAAAAGGCUUUUAACUUUUUUCCCUGCUAUUUUCCGAUAUUCAAUUAAACACAAAUGGGGUCUCAUUUUCCGUGGCGUUGUUCUGCUGCUUUGUGCUGCUUCUUGCUAUUUAGGGAGAGUGAUCAUUGAACUGUUGGUAAAUAUCGAUACAUCAUUCGCUUAAUAUGCUUUAAUCAGUCCUUUUACGUUUAAAUAGAGCACUAUAAAUAUUCGCGGAUUUUAACGUAAUUAAUUUUUCGUGUCUAUAGAACUUUUUCUUUGAUCAAUCACUGAUUUUAAUUGUAUUUAUUGACAUGAAGUUUAUAGACGUUCGAUGAGUUACUUUUAGGUUAGGAAAAACGUCAACACGGUAUAGGAAAUAAAUGUCAAAAAGAUUUGAAAUACAUAAGAACAUUGGGAGGACAAAAAAUAAAUUGCGAGUGAAAAUAGAAAGUAAAUUAAGUCGAAGUGGACGAGCUACUUUUAGGAUAGGAAUAAAGUAAACAAAGUUAAGAAAUAAACCACAACAUUAAAAAAGUAAAUUACGAACGAAAUUAAAAGAUAAAUCAAGUUGAGUUCAAUGAAUUACUUUCAGGUUAAAAAUAAAGCAAACAAACCAUAAGAAAUAAAGGUUAGAAAUAAACGAGAACAUUAAAUGUAUAACAACCAUUAUUUUAUUUAUUUCCAGAAAUAAAUUAAGAAUGAAAAUAAAAAGUAGGU